rnacentral:rRNA from 1 species
GAUGAACGCUGGCGGCGUGCCUAAUACAUGCAAGUCGAGCGAACAGACGAGGAGCUUGCUCCUCUGACGUUAGCGGCGGACGGGUGAGUAACACGUGGAUAACCUACCUAUAAGACUGGGAUAACUUCGGGAAACCGGAGCUAAUACCGGAUAAUAUAUUGAACCGCAUGGUUCAAUAGUGAAAGACGGUUUUGCUGUCACUUAUAGAUGGAUCCGCGCCGCAUUAGCUAGUUGGUAAGGUAACGGCUUACCAAGGCAACGAUGCGUGGCCGACCUGAGAGGGUGAUCGGCCACACUGGAACUGAGACACGGUCCAGACUCCUACGGGAGGCAGCAGUAGGGAAUCUUCCGCAAUGGGCGAAAGCCUGACGGAGCAACGCCGCGUGAGUGAUGAAGGUCUUCGGAUCGUAAAACUCUGUUAUUAGGGAAGAACAAAUGUGUAAGUAACUAUGCACGUCUUGACGGUACCGAAUCAGAAAGCCACGGCUAACUACGU